rnacentral:rRNA from 1 species
UACGGGGGGGGCAAGCGUUGUUCGGAAUUACUGGGCGUAAAGCGCGUGUAGGCUGCUCCGCAAGUCGGAUGUGAAAGCCCUGGGCUCAACCUAGGAAGUGCAUUCGAUACUGCAGAGCUUGAGUCCUGGAGAGGAAGGCGGAAUUCUCGGUGUAGAGGUGAAAUUCGUAGAUAUCGAGAGGAACACCGGUGGCGAAGGCGGCCUUCUGGACAGUGACUGACGCUGAGACGCGAAAGCGUGGGGAGCAAACAGG